GCUAUCCUGUGGCUCAGUUGGGAGAGCAUUGCAUUGUCUGUCAACGCAAAGGUUGUGGGUUCAAAUCCCAGGUAGAGCA